UACAGAGGGUGCGAGCGUUGUUCGGAAUUAUUGGGCGUAAAGGGCGCGUAGGCGGCGCCACAAGUCACUUGUGAAAACUCUGGGCUCAACCCAGAGCCUGCAGGCGAAACUGUGGUGCUGGAGUAUGGGAGAGGUGCGUGGAAUUCCUGGUGUAGCGGUGAAAUGCGCAGAUAUCGGGAGGAACACCGGUGGCGAAGGCGGUUCUCUGGGCCUGUACUGACGCUGAGGAGCGAAAGCGUGGGGAGCGAACAGG
rnacentral:rRNA from 1 species